rnacentral:rRNA from 1 species
UACGUAGGGUGCAAGCGUUGUCCGGAAUUAUUGGGCGUAAAGAGCUCGUAGGCGGUCUGUCGCGUCGGCUGUGAAAGUCAAAGGCUCAACCUUUGAAUGUCAGCGGAUACUGCCGGGCUAGAGUCCGGAAGAGGCGAGUGGAACUCCUGGUGUAGCGGUGGAAUGCGCAGAUAUCAGGAAGAACACCAACGGCGAAGGCAGCUCGCUGGGACGGAACUGACGCUAAGGCGCGAAAGCGUGGGGAGCGAACAGG